CACCUCAUAUUUAAUUUUUAUCUCAGAUGGAGGAAGUCAAAUGCAGAGACAAUUGGAGAAGUAGCUGCGACUGUGACCAGGUGAUCACGGACUGUGGUCAUAACAUUCCUCAACUUCAAACAGGCCAGGCCUUGUGCAGUGUAGAGAGUUUGCUGCAUCAGAUGGUGUAGAGUUUGCAUUGCUGAAAAAUAAUGCAGUUCUCGUACCUGGACUCCCAUCGAAGGAAUGUCGUUAACAGACCACCUGUCCAGAUCAAGACCGUGUAGUUCUUGGCCAGUGUAACAGUGUAACCCAGAAGGGAGACAAGUUCAAGUCUGGGUCGGUGCAGCAUGUACAUCCCCCUGUCUCUUCCAGAUCUUUGACAGGGAAGGUUGCUAAAGAGGUAAACAAUACAUAUGUAUGAUGAUGACUUUGUUCUAUUACAGGUAAAGACACUGGCUUCUGCAGAUAUUUCACCUCUCCAAGAACUUUGGUAACACGGGCGAGAGAUACAGUUCCCGCAAAUGACCGAGUCACCGCACUGAAUGAGGAUUACUUAGCACGUCGUGCAAAUCAAAAGCGUGUGGCUCUCUGACCCGAGGAACCGAAAAUGGAAUUUGUGUGGGACAGCAUUGCCAUCCCAGAGGGAUUCAGUCGUAACGACAUUAUCAUUGAGGACAGGCCGCAUCUUUGGAACCGUGUUUCACGUUGUGUAUGUGAAUGGAACAUUCAAGGAUCUCUUUCUUGGGUGGAUGGAUUCAGAGUUGACCCCAGAGAUGCGGCCUUGAUUGUGGCACAUGGAUGUUAUUGAUGGUGACUGUAAAGAAUUGAAGAUAGCAGAAAAACAAAACUAUCUUGAUAUGGCUUUCUGGUGUUAAAUCAUCAGACAAGGUGUUCAUUAUUUGUGGAAAAAUAGUGUCAUAGCUCUAAUCUAUUCUGCAAAAUCAUAAUAAAGUGGUGAACUUGAGUGAUUUUACAUAGAACAAGAAGGGCAUUUUCGUUGUGAUCCGACACCUAGAAGUGAAAACCAGAUUUUGGAAUAUCUCAGCUUAUAUGCAGUCUACAGUGAUGAAAUGUCACACAAAAGGUCCUUGGGUAUAGGCACUUAUUAUCUAACAGGAUUUUAUCAAGUUUCUGUUUGGGACAUUAAAGUAAAGCCAGCAGCCGUCUACUAGACUGCAAGAUUCAUCUCUUCAUAACGGAUGUCAUAGCUUUCCAGAUAUACUAGCUGUCUUGUGUAUCGGGCAGAAAUGCAGAGUGGUACUACCAGUUACCUAAGCCACCAUUCCCCUCACAGACAAAAGGCUCA